rnacentral:lncRNA from 1 species
CUUUUAGGGUAUGGGUUGAAUUUCUUUAGUUUAGUUAGUUUAUGUUUAAACUCGUAGGAUAUGAAUUGAAAUUUUAGUUUUUAGGAUUUGUUCUUGUGAAUUGAACUUUUAGGAUAUGAAUUGAACUUUUAAGAUAUGAAUUGGACCUUUUGGAUAUGAAUUAAACUUUUAGGAUAUAAAUUGGUGUAAUUAGGAAAAAAUAAUUAUCUUGAAUUAACUAAAAAAGUUAUAAUUAAUUUAUAAUUGUAGAAUAAAUUAAUUUGUUCUUGUGAAUCGAACUUUUAGGGUAUGGGUUGAAUUUCUUUAGUUUAGUUAGUUUAUGUUUAAACUCGUAGGAUAUGAAUUGAAAUUUUAGUUUUUAGGAUUUGUUCUUGUGAAUUGAACUUUUAUGAUAUAAAUUGAACUUUUAGGAUAUGAAUUGGACCCUUUGGAUAUGAAUUGAACUUUUAGGAUAUAAAUUGGUGUAAUUAGGAAAAAAUAAUUAUCUUGAAUUAACUAAAAAAGAUAUAAUUAAUUUAUAAUUGUAGAAU